UACAGGGGGUGCAAACGUUGUUCGGAAUCACUGGGCAUAAAGAGCGCGUAGGCGGUCUGAUAAGUCAGGUGUGAAAUCCCCCGGCUCAACCGGGGAACUGCACCUGAUACUGUUGGGCUUGAGUGCAGGAGGGGAGAGCGGAAUUCCUGGUGGAGCGGUGAAAUGCGUAGAUAUCAAGUGGAACACCAGUGGCGAAGGCGAAUCCCUGGAAAAUACCUGACACUGAGGCACGAAAGCUAGGGGAGCAAACAGG
rnacentral:rRNA from 1 species